UACGUAGGGUGCGAGCGUUGUCCGGAAUUACUGGGCGUAAAGAGCUUGUAGGCGGUCUGUCACGUCGAUUGUGAAAACUUGCAGCUCAACUGCAAGCUUGCAGUCGAUACGGGCAGACUAGAGUACUUCAGGGGAGACUGGAAUUCCUGGUGUAGCGGUGAAAUGCGCAGAUAUCAGGAGGAACACCGGUGGCGAAGGCGGUUCUCUGGGCCUUACCUGACGCUGAGGAGCGAAAGCGUGGGGAGCAAACAGG
rnacentral:rRNA from 1 species